CAGCAGCAGCCGCGGUAAAACGGAGGGGGCUAGCGUUGUUCGGAAUUACUGGGCGUAAAGCGCACGUAGGCGGCUUGGUAAGUUAGAGGUGAAAGCCCGGAGCUCAACUCCGGAAUUGCCUUUAAGACUGCCGAGCUAGUAGGUGAGAGAGGUAAGUGGAAUUCCGAGUGUAGAGGUGAAAUUCGUAGAUAUUCGGAAGAACACCAGUGGCGAAGGCGGCUUACUGGCUCAUUCUAGACGCUGAGGUGCGAAAGCGUGGGGAGCAAACAGGAUUAGAUACCCCCGUAGUCUCUGUCUCUUAUAC
rnacentral:rRNA from 1 species